rnacentral:rRNA from 1 species
ACGUCUAAGCAGUAAGGCUGAGUAUUAGGCAAAUCCGGUACUCGUUAAGGCUGAGCUGUGAUGGGGAGAAGACAUUGUGUCUUCGAGUCGUUGAUUUCACACUGCCGAGAAAAGCCUCUAGAUAGAAAAUAGGUGCCCGUACCGCAAACCGACACAGGUAGUCAAGAUGAGAAUUCUAAGGUGAGCGAGCGAACUCUCGUUAAGGAACUCGGCAAAAUGACCCCGUAACUUCGGGAGAAGGGGUGCUCUUUAGGGUUAACGCCCAGAAGAGCCGCAGUGAAUAGGCCCAAGCGACUGUUUAUCAAAAACACAGGUCUCUGCUAAACCGUAAGGUGAUGUAUAGGGGCUGACGCCUGCCCGGUGCUGGAAGGUUAAGAGGAGUGGUUAGCUUCUGCGAAGCUACGAAUCGAAGCCCCAGUAAACGGCGGCCGUAACUAUAACGGUCCUAAGGUAGCGAAAUUCCUUGUCGGGUAAGUUCCGACCCGCACGAAAGGCGUAACGAUUUGGGCACUGUCUCAACGAGAGACUCGGUGAAAUCAUAGUACCUGUGAAGAUGCAGGUUACCCGCGACAGGACGGAAAGACCCCGUGGAGCUUUACUGUAGCCUGAUAUUGAAAUUCGGCACAGCUUGUACAGGAUAGGUAGGAGCCUUUGAAACGUGAGCGCUAGCUUACGUGGAGGCGCUGGUGGGAUACUACCCUAGCUGUGUUGGCUUUCUAACCCGCACCACUUAUCGUGGUGGGAGACAGUGUCAGGCGGGCAGUUUGACUGGGGCGGUCGCCUCCUAAAAGGUAACGGAGGCGCUCAAAGGUUCCCUCAGAAUGGUUGGAAAUCAUUCAUAGAGUGUAAAGGCAUAAGGGAGCUUGACUGCGAGACCUACAAGUCGAGCAGGGUCGAAAGACGGACUUAGUGAUCCGGUGGUUCCGCAUGGAAGGGCCAUCGCUCAACGGAUAAAAGCUACCCCGGGGAUAACAGGCUUAUCUCCCCCAAGAGUUCACAUCGACGGGGAGGUUUGGCACCUCGAU